rnacentral:tRNA from 1 species
GGAAGAACAGUUUAAUGGUUAAAGCACAAGACUUCAAAUCUUGGUAUUGUUUCUAGUCAUAAGUUUUCUUUCU